rnacentral:rRNA from 1 species
UGGGGAAUAUUGGACAAUGGGCGCAAGCCUGAUCCAGCCAUGCCGCGUGAGUGAUGAAGGCCCUAGGGUUGUAAAGCUCUUUCACCGGUGAAGAUAAUGACGGUAACCGGAGAAGAAGCCCCGGCUAACUUCGUGCCAGCAGCCGCGGUAAUACGAAGGGGGCUAGCGUUGUUCGGAUUUACUGGGCGUAAAGCGCACGUAGGCGGACUUUUAAGUCAGGGGUGAAAUCCCGGGGCUCAACCCCGGAACUGCCUUUGAUACUGGAAGUCUUGAGUAUGGUAGAGGUGAGUGGAAUUCCGAGUGUAGAGGUGAAAUUCGUAGAUAUUCGGAGGAACACCAGUGGCGAAGGCGGCUCACUGGACAAUUACUGACGCUGAGGUGCGAAAGCGUGGGGAGCAAACAGG